UACGAAGGUCCCAAGCGUUGCUCGGAAUCAUUGGGCGUAAAGCGGGUGCAGGUGGCUCUGUAAGUCAAGAGUGAAAGCCCAGGGCUUAACCCUGGAAGUGCUUUUGAUACUGCAGAGCUUGAGUGUGAGAGAGGAUGCUGGAAUUCCUAGUGUAGUGGUGAAAUACGUAGAUAUUAGGAGGAACCCCGGUGGCGAAGGCGGGUAUCUGGCUCAACACUGACACUUAGACCCGAAAGCGUGGGGAUCAAACAGG
rnacentral:rRNA from 1 species